rnacentral:rRNA from 1 species
GACGAACGCUGGCGGCGUGCUUAACACAUGCAAGUCGAACGGUGAAGCGCCUUCCUUUUUGGUGGGUGUGGAUGAGUGGCGAACGGGUGAGUAACACGUGAGUAACCUGCCCCCUUCUUCUGGAUAACCGCAUGAAAGUGUGGCUAAUACGGGAUAUUCUGGGUCUGUCGCAUGAUGGGUCUGGGAAAGAUAUUGCUUCUGUGGGGGAUGGGCUCGCGGCCUAUCAGGUUGUUGGUGGGGUGAUGGCCUACCAAGGCGGUGACGGGUAGCCGGCCUGGGAGGGUGGACGGUCACACGGGGACUGAGACACGGCCCAGACUCCGACGGGAGGCAGCAGUGAGGAAUAUUGCACAAUGGGCGCAAGGCUGAUGCAGCGACGCCGCGUGAGGGAUGGAGGCCUUCGGGUUGUGAACCUCUUUCGCCAGUGAAGCAGGCCUGCCUCGUUUGUGGGUGGGUUGACGGUAGCUGGAUAAGAAGCGCCGGCUAACUACGUG